rnacentral:lncRNA from 1 species
AGUUUUUCCCUUACAUCUACCGGGUGUGGGAACUCACCCAGCGCAUCCGACUGCACAAUGAAAAAAAGUAGUUUUCCUUUACAAUGAGGCUUGGCCCCCAGGGCGAUGGUGCCACAAGCCAGAUCACUGGGACCACUCAGAGAAAGGGAACACAGAAGCCUGGCAUGCCAGCAAAAAGCAGGGUUUUUGUGAGCAGUGUCUUGCACCAAACUCCUGUCUCCUCCUGUGACUUAGAAUGCCUAACUUCCUGGGAAUGCAGCACAGGUCUCAGCCUCAUUUUGCCCAGCCCCUAUUCAAGACGGAUUUGCUGUGGUUCAAAUGCUUCUGACAAUAUUCCUCAUGGUGAAUGCUGGAUUUUGCAUGCCCGAGGCCCUGGGCCACACUGUAUGUUUGCUUUUUGCAAGGGCUGUAUGGCUAUGACUAGUUAUGUGGACCCUGCAUUCCUAUGUAAAUGACCCUCCAUAAAAACCCCAGAAAUGAAUGCUUGAGUGAACUUCCCUGGCUUGUAUUAUAAUACUGUGAACAUCUUGUCACACAUCUUUGCUGGGGGAAUUAAGUGUGUCCCUAUGUGACCGUAAUGGGAGAUAACACCCAGAGUUUUGUGCCUGCUUUCAUGUGGACUUCAUUCUAUGUGAUUUUUCCCUUUGGUGAUCCUGGUCUAUAUCCUUUUAUUGUAAUAAACUAUAACCAUAACAGCU